ACGUAGUUUGAUCAUGGCUACAGGACGAACGCUGGCGGCGUGCUUAACACAUGCAAGUCGAACGAAAGGACGGGAAGAGCUUGCUCUUUCCGGAAUUGAGUGGCAAACGGGUGAGUAACACGUAAACAACCUGCCUUCAGGAUGGGGACAACAGUUGGAAACGACUGCUAAUACCGCAUAAGCCCACGGGUCGGCAUCGACCAGAGGGAAAAGGAGCAAUCCGCUUUGAGAUGGCCUCGCGUCCGAUUAGCUAGUUGGUGAGGUAACGGCCCACCAAGGCGACGAUCGGUAGCCGGACUGAGAGGUUGAACGGCCACAUUGGGACUGAGACACGGCCCAGACUCCUACGGGAGGCAGCAGUGGGGAAUAUUGCACAAUGGGGGAAACCCUGAUGUAGCGACGCCGCGUGGAGGAAGAAGGUCUUCGGAUUGUAAACUCCUGUUGUUGGGGAAGAUAAUGACGGUACCCAACAAGGAAGUGACGGCUAACUACGUG
rnacentral:rRNA from 1 species